rfam:Hordeum vulgare subsp. vulgare, WGS project CAJW01000000 data, contig: morex_contig_37617
GAUAUACUCCGUCCGUUCGAAAUUACUUGUCGCAUAAAUGAAUAAAAAUAAAUGUACUUAAAACUAAAAUACAUCUACAUACAUUCAUUCCUAUGGCAAGUAUUUUCGAACGAAGGGAGUACAAC